GAGAUCCUAGACUCAUUCUAAUUUAAUGACUUAUAGGGUCUGAUUGUUGUUUAUUCUCUAUUUCAGAGAUCCCUGAAGACCCGCUUGUGGCUGAAGAGUAUUAUGCUGAUGCCUUUGAUUCCUGCUCUGAAGAAAGUGACGAGGAAGAAGAAGAAACAGUGUUUUCAGCAGCAGAGGAAGAGGUCAAGGAUGAGGGACCCCAGCCUGCUUACAGAACAUUCCAACAGGACAGUGAUAUUGAAGCACUGGUCAGGUGUCUGGAAAAUGUCCUGGGUUGCACCUCUCUAGGUAAGUUGCUUCAGAUUCCAAAAUGUAAUGCUACCUGCUGAUUCCAAUGGAAUAUCUGAGGAGUAGAACACUUGGAAGGAAUCUUUUUUUUUUUUUUUUCAGAUUUUAUUCAUUUAUUUGAUGGAGCAGGGGGAGCAGUAGAGGGAAAGGGAGGGAGAAGCAGGCUCUAUACUGAGCAGGGAGCCCUAUGCGGGACUCAAUCCCAGGACCCUGGGAUCAUGACCCUGAGCCAAAGGAGGUG
rnacentral:lncRNA from 1 species